GUAAAGAGCAUGUAGGCGGCUUAAUAAGUCGAGCGUGAAAAUGCGGGGCUCAACCCCGUAUGGCGCUGGAAACUGUUAGGCUUGAGUGCAGGAGAGGAAAGGGGAAUUCCCAGUGUAGCGGUGAAAUGCGUAGAUAUUGGGAAGAACACCAGUGGCGAAGGCGCCUUUCUGGACUGUGCCUGACGCUGAGAUGCGAAAGCCAGGGUAGCGAACGGGAUUAGAUACCCCGGUAGUCCUGGCCGUAAACGAUGGGUACUAGGUGUAGGAGGUAUCGACCCCUUC
rnacentral:rRNA from 1 species